rfam:Ovis aries breed Texel chromosome 13, whole genome shotgun sequence.
UGGCUCAAAUGGUAAAGAAUCUGCCUGCAAUGCAGGAGACCCAGGUUCAAUUCCUGG